GGUUGGCUAGCUCAGUUGGUUAGAGCGUCGAGCUAAUAGAAUUCGGCAUCGCCUUAUUUGAUCACUCGAAGGUCAUGGGUUCGACCCCCCUGCUGACCA